ACUGAGACACGGUCCAAACUCCUACGGGAGGCAGCAGUGAGGAAUAUUGGUCAAUGGACGAGAGUCUGAACCAGCCAAGUAGCGUGAAGGAUGAAGGUCCUACGGAUUGUAAACUUCUUUUAUAAGGGAAUAAACCCUCCCACGUGUGGGAGCUUGUAUGUACCUUAUGAAUAAGCAUCGGCUAACUCCGUGCCAGCAGCCGCGGUAAUACGGAGGAUGCGAGCGUUAUCCGGAUUUAUUGGGUUUAAAGGGAGCGCAGACGGGUCGUUAAGUCAGCUGUGAAAGUUUGGGGCUCAACCUUAAAAUUGCAGUUGAUACUGGCGUCCUUGAGUGCGGUUGAGGUGUGCGGAAUUCGUGGUGUAGCGGUGAAAUGCUUAGAUAUCACGAAGAACUCCGAUUGCGAAGGCAGCACACUAAUCCGUAACUGACGUUCAUGCUCGAAAGUGUGGGUAUCAAACAGGAUUAGAUACCCUGGUAGUCCACACGGUAAACGAUGGAUACUCGCUGUUGGCGAUAUACUGUCAGCGGCUUAGCGAAAGCGUUAAGUAUCCCACCUGGGGAGUACGCCGGCAACGGUA
rnacentral:rRNA from 1 species